AACGUACGCUGGCGGCACGCCUAACACAUGCAAGUCGAACGAAGUAGCAAUACUUAGUGGCAGACGGGUGAGUAACAUGUAGGUAUCUGCCCUUUGGCCUGGAAUAACACGAGGAAACUUGUGCUAAUACCGGAUAAGUCUUUACGGAGAAAGCUUUAUGCACCAUUGGAUGAGCCUGCACUUGAUUAGUUUGUUGGUGGGGUAAUGGCCUACCAAGACUGUGAUCAAUAGCUGAUUUGAGAGGAUGAUCAGCCACAUUGGGACUGAGACACGGCCCAAACUCCUACGGGAGGCAGCAGUGGGGAAUCUUGCACAAUGGAGGAAACUCUGAUGCAGCGAUGCCGCGUGAGUGAAGAAGGCCUUUGGGUUGUAAAGCUCUUUCGUCGGGGAAGAAAAUGACUGUACCCGAAUAAGAAGGUCCGGCUAACUUCGUGCCAGCAGCCGCGGUAAUACGAAGGGACCUAGCGUAGUUCGGAAUUACUGGGCUUAAAGAGUUCGUAGGUGGUUGAAAAAGUUGGUGGUGAAAUCCCAGAGCUUAACUCUGGAACUGCCAUUAAAACUUUUCAGCUAGAGUAUGAUAGAGGAAAGCAGAAUUUCUAGUGUAGAGGUGAAAUUCGUAGAUAUUAGAAAGAAUACCAAUUGCGAAGGCAGCUUUCUGGAUCAUUACUGACACUGAGGAACGAAAGCAUGGGUAGCGAAGAGGAUUAGAUACCCUCGUAGUCCAUGCCGUAAACGAUGUGUGUUAGACGUUGGAAAUUUAUUUUCAGUGUCGCAGCGAAAGCGAUAAACACACCGCCUGGGGAGUACGACCGCAAGGUUA
rnacentral:rRNA from 1 species